AGCAGCGUGGCUCAGUGGAAAGAGCCCGGGCUUGGGAGUCAGAGGUCACGGGUUCGAAUCCCGGCUCUGCCA
rnacentral:tRNA from 1 species